AUGAUGUUUCUCAAUAGUAAGGUCUCCCUAGCUACCAUGGGGAGGAGCACAGCUACCGGUGGUGUCCGGCGUGGACAAAUUAACUCAGAAUUUUCAGUCCGCCUCAUGGACGGUCCUCCCACGCCCGAUGGCCAUGAGGUGCACGCGGUGCAUUGGGCCAUGCCUUCUUUGCACCGGACCCAAGCGCAAGCCGAUGAGCUUGAUGAGGACAUCGUCGUGAUCUUGACCUCGACUACUUCCUACACAAAGUUGUGCCUCUGCCCCUCUCCCUGCCGGUGCUCUAGACUGGUUUUGAUUUAUCUUGUUGGUUGGGAAACUAUCAAAUCUGUUUUGGGUGCUACACGCUGCUGUUUUGAGAGAUUUCAGACUUUUGUUAUGUUGUGUGCACACAAACAUGCAACAUUGCUUCCUAAAUAUAGAGCAAUCCUUUGA
rnacentral:rRNA from 1 species